GACGAAGGAUGCAAGCGUUAUCCGGAUUCAUUGGGUUUAAAGGGAGCGUAGGCGGCCCAGUAAGUCAGUGGUGAAAUCUCUCGGCUUAACCGAGAAAUUGCCAUUGAUACUGCAGGGCUUGAGUACAGUUGCCGUUGGCGGAAUAUGACAUGUAGUGGUGAAAUACAUAGAGAUGUCAUAGAACACCGAUUGCGAAGGCAGCUAACGAAACUGUAACUGACGCUGAGGCUCGAAAGUGCGGGGAUCAAACAGG
rnacentral:rRNA from 1 species